rnacentral:rRNA from 1 species
UACGGGGGGAGCAAGCGUUGUUCGGAUUUACUGGGCGUAAAGGGCGCGUAGGCGGCCACCGCAAGUCGACUGUGAAAUCUCCGGGCUUAGCCCGGAAAGGUCAGCCGAUACUGCGGGGCUAGAGUGCAGAAGGGGCAACUGGAAUUCUCGGCGUAGCGGUGAAAUGCGUAGAUAUCGAGAGGAACACCUGCGGCGAAGGCGGGUUGCUGGGCUGACACUGACGCUGAGGCGCGAAAGCUAGGGGAGCGAACGGG